UAGGGAAUCUUCCGCAAUGGACGAAAGUCUGACGGAGCAACGCCGCGUGAGUGAAGAAUGAUUUCGGUUCGUAAAACUCUGUUGUUAGGGAAGAAAAAAUGUAUAGUAACUAUAUACAAAAGAGACGGUACCUAACCAGAAAGCCACGGCUAACUACGUGCCAGCAGCCGCGGUAAUACGUAGGUGGCAAGCGUUGUCCGGAAUUAUUGGGCGUAAAGCGCGCGCAGGUGGUUUAGAAAGUCUGAUGUGAAAGCCCACGGCUCAACCGUGGAGGGUCAUUGGAAACUAAUAAACUUGAGUGCAGGAGAGAAAAGUGGAAUUCCUAGUGUAGCGGUGAAAUGCGUAGAGAUUAGGAGGAACACCGGUGGCGAAAGCGGCUUUUUGGCCUGCAACUGACACUGAGGCGCGAAAGCGUGGGGAGCAAACAGG
rnacentral:rRNA from 1 species